rnacentral:sRNA from 2 species
CCUACAUAUUACGGACGGCUUCCAUCAGGCGAUUUUGUUUUGUUUUACUUUAUUUCUGAGCUCUCUUCCCUUCCACAGAGCUAGCCCAUAGCUAUUGUGUGAAUGUUCAACGGAAUAUUCUGUUCAAUAUUACUUUUAUUUACUUUUUUUCUAUCAUUUGAAAUUGAUUCGUUACAGUUGUCCUCUCACUUGGACUCGCUUGUCGAGGUUUUCCACACUUCGAACAAGAGAAUGACGCAAUACGAACUGCGGACUGCAAGAGG